rnacentral:tRNA from 1 species
GCCCAGGUAGCUCAGUCGGUAGAGCAGGGGACUGAAAAUCCCCGUGUCGGUGGUUCGAUUCCGCCCCUGGGCACAG